AUGGCAUCAGAGAUCCACAUGACAGGCCCAAUGUGCCUCAUUGAGAACACUAAUAGGUGACUGAUGGCGAAUCCACAAGCUCUGAAGAUCCUGUCUGCCAUUAGGCAGCCUGUAGUGGUGGUGGCAAUUGUGGGCCUCUACCGCACAGGCAAAUCCUACCUGAUGAACAAGCUGGCUGGGAAGAAAAAGGGCUUCUCUCUGGGCUCCACAGUGCAGUCUCACACUAAAGGAAUCAGGAUGUGGUGUUUGCCCCAUCCCAAGAAGCCAGGCCACAUCCUAGUUCUGCUGGACACCGAGGGUCUGGGAGAUGUAGAGAAGGGUGACAACCAGAAUGACUCCUGGAUCUUCGCCCUGGCCGUCCUCCUGAGCAGCACCUCCGUGUACAAUAGCAUGGGAACCAUCAACCAGCAGGCCAUGGACCAACUGCACUAUGUGACAGAGCUGACACACCGAAUCCGAUCAAAAUCCUCACCUGAUGAGAAUGAGAAUGAGGAUUCAGCUGACUUUGUGAGCUUCUUCCCAGACUUUGUGUGGACACUGAGAGAUUUCUCCCUGGACUUAGAAGCAGAUGGACAACCCAUCACAGCAGAUGAGUACCUGACAUACUCCCUGAAGCUGAAGCAAGAUGAAACUUUUAAUCUGUCCCGACUCUGUAUCCAGAAGUUCUUCCCAAAGAAGAAAUGCUUUAUCUUUGAUCGGCCGAUUCACCACAAGAAGUUUGCCCAGCUCAUGACACCAUGUGACGAAGAGCUGGACCCCGAAUUUGUGCAACAAGUAGCAGACUUCUGUUCCUACAUCUUUAGCAAUUCCAAAACUAAAACUCUUUCAGGAGGCAUCAAGGUCAAUGGGCCUUGUCUAGAGAGCAUGGUGCUCACCUAUGUCAAUGCCAUCAGCAGUAAUGAUCUGCCCUGCUGGAGAAUGUAGUCCUGGCCUUGGCCCAGAUAGAGAGUUCAGCUGCAGUGCAAAAGACUAUUGCCCACUACGAACAGCAGAUGGACCAGAAGGUACAGCUCCCCGUGGAAAUCCUCCAGGAGCUGCUGGACCUGCACAGGGACAGUGAGAGAGGGGCCAUUGAAGUCUUCAUCAGGAGUUCCUUCAAAGAUGUGGAACAUCUAUUUCAAAAAGAGUUAGCAGCCCAGCUAGACAAAACGCACAAUGACUUUUGUAAACAGAAUCAGAAAGCAUCAUCAGAUCAUUGCUCAGCUUUACUUUAGGAUAUUUUCAGUCCUCUAGAAGAAGAAGUGAAGGCAGGAAUUUAUUUGAAACCGGGGGGCUAUCAUCUUUUUUUUCAGAUGCUACAAGAUCUGAAGAAAAAGUACCAUGAGGAACCAAGGAAGGGGAUACAGGCUGAAGAGAUUCUGCAGACAUACUUGAAAUCCAAAGAGUCUAUGACUGAUGCAAUUCUACAGACAGACCAGACUCUCACAGAAAAGGAAAAGGAGAUUGAAGUGGAACGUGUGAAAGCUGAGUCUGCACAGGCUUCAGCAAAAAUGUUGCAGGAAAUGCAAAGAAAGAAUGAGCAGAUGAUGGAACAGAAGGAGAGGAGUUAUCAGAAACACUUGAAACAACUGACUGAGAAGAUGGAGAGGGACAGGGCCCAGUUGAUGAAAGAGCAAGAGAGGACCCUCACUCUUAAACUUCAGGAACAAGAGCGACUGCUAAAAGAGGGAUUUGAAACAUAAGCAGAAGAAUGCAAAAUGAGACACAGAAUCUCCAGAGGACAAUGAUACAACGAAGGACAUAUACCAUAAGCUAAAGACCAGAGCCUUCCUGUCACCCCUACCCAAGGCAUAACUGAAACAAUUUUAAAAUUUGGAACAAGUGUCACUACAUUUGAUAACAAUUAGAUCUUGCAUCAUAACACCAAAAUUAUAAAGGCAUGCAGUACAGUGAUCAAAACCAUAUUUUUUCCAAAAAAAGACUGUAAAUUGUGCAACAAAGAUGCAUUUACCUCUGUAUCAACUCAGGAAGGUUCAUGAGCUGGUACCACUCAGGAGAAGUUUAUUCUUCCUGACGACAAGCAGUAGACAAAUGGAUACUGAGCAGAGUCUUAGGUAAAAGUCUUGGGAAAUAUUUGGGCAUUGGUCUGGCCAAGUCUACAAUGUCCCAAUAUCAAGGACAACCACCCUAGCUUCUUAGUGAAGACAACAUGUAGUUACCCAUUAGAUCAAGGCUACACAGUCUAUGAGCAAUAAUGUGAUUUCUGGACAUUGCCCAUGUGUAAUCCUCACUGAUGAUUUCAAGCUAAAGCAAACUACCUUGUACAGAGAUCUAGCAUCUCUUGAUGUUCUCCAGAGGAAGGUGAAAGAAACCAUGGGCAGCAGUAGGAAUCGAGUGAUAAACAAAUGGGCUAAAGAAGAAAACUUUUCUUCUUGUUCAGUUCAUCCAGAUUAUAACUUCAAUGGGACACUUUAGACCGUUAGACAAUUGACACUGGAUUAAACAUAGUCACACAAUGCCAAUUACACACUGUAUUUAUGGCAAUGUAUAAUUUGCAAAGAUGGACUUUAAAAGAUGAUGUGUAACAAAACUGAACUAAUUCAAUUACUUAUUGUUCAGAAUGCUAAAGCUUAUGCUAGUCUUUUCUAAUUCUUAACAGUCAUACUUGAAAUCUUGCUGAGUUUCCCCAAAAGAGAAUAUGGAAUGUUUUUUGACAUUUUUGACCCAUGUAAUAAUGCUCUUGUGUUUACCUAGUAUAUGUAGACUUUAUCUCAUGUGUCAAAAGUCCUAGGAAAGUGGUUGAUGUUUCUUACAGAAAUUGAAAAUUAUUUUU